rnacentral:rRNA from 1 species
CGGAGGGUCCAAGCGUUAUCCGGAAUCAUUGGGUUUAAAGGGUCCGUAGGCGGUUUUGUAAGUCAGUGGUGAAAGCCCAUCGCUCAACGGUGGAACGGCCAUUGAUACUGCAAGACUUGAAUUAUUAGGAAGUAACUAGAUUAUGUAGUGUAGCGGUGAAAUGCUUAGAGAUUACAUGGAAUACCAAUUGCGAAGGCAGGUUACUACUAAUGGAUUGACGCUGAUGGACGAAAGCGUGGGGAGCGAACAGGAUUAGAUACCCUGGUAGUCCACGCCGUAAACGAUGGAUACUAGCUGUUCGGAGCAAUCUGAGUGGCUAAGCGAAAGUGAUAAGUAUCCCACCUGGGGAGUACGUUCGCAAGAAUG